rnacentral:SRP_RNA from 1 species
GCCAGGCGUGGUGGCGCACACCUGUAAUCCCAGCUACUAGGGAGGCUGAGGCAGGAGAAUCACUUGAACCCAGGAGGCGGAGGUUGCAGUGAGCCGAGAUUGCACUCCAGCCUGGGUGACAGAGUGAGACCCUGUCUCAA